GGCAACCUACCUUAUAGUUUGGGAUAACUCCGGGAAACCGGGGCUAAUACCGAAUAAUCUGUUUCACCUCAUGGUGAAACACUGAAAGACGGUUUCGGCUGUCGCUAUAGGAUGGGCCCGCGGCGCAUUAGCUAGUUGGUGAGGUAACGGCUCACCAAGGCGACGAUGCGUAGCCGACCUGAGAGGGUGAUCGGCCACACUGGGACUGAGACACGGCCCAGACUCCUACGGGAGGCAGCAGUAGGGAAUCUUCCACAAUGGGCGAAAGCCUGAUGGAGCAACGCCGCGUGAGUGAAGAAGGAUUUCGGUUCGUAAAACUCUGUUGUAAGGGAAGAACAAGUACAGUAGUAACUGGCUGUACCUUGACGGUACCUUAUUAGAAAGCCACGGCUAACUACGUGCCAGCAGCCGCGGUAAUACGUAGGUGGCAAGCGUUGUCCGGAAUUAUUGGGCGUAAAGCGCGCGCAGGUGGUUUCUUAAGUCUGAUGUGAAAGCCCACGGCUCAACCGUGGAGGGUCAUUGGAAACUGGGAGACUUGAGUGCAGAAGAGGAUAGUGGAAUUCCAAGUGUAGCGGUGAAAUGCGUAGAGAUUUGGAGGAACACCAGUGGCGAAGGCGACUAUCUGGUCUGUAACUGACACUGAGGCGCGAAAGCGUGGGGAGCAAACAGGAUUAGAACCCCUGGUAAUCCACGCCGUA
rnacentral:rRNA from 1 species